rnacentral:rRNA from 1 species
GGGAACUACGAGCCAAGCUUAAAACCCAAAGGACUUGACGGUACCCCAUAUCCCCCUAGAGGAGCCUGUCCUAUAAUCGAUAACCCCCGUUUAACCUCACCAUUUCUAGCAACUCAGCCUGUAUACCUCCGUCGUCAGCUUACCACGUGAGCGCUAGUGAGCUUAAUGUUUUUUCAACUAAACGUCAGGUCAAGGUGCAACACAUGAAAUGGGAAGAGAUGGGCUACACUUUCUAAAAUAGAUCACACGGAAGACUAACUAUGAAAUCUAGUCAGAAGGCGGAUUUAGAAGUAAAAAGCAACC